UGCAAGUCGAACGAUUAAAGCUCUCUUCGGAGAGUGCAUAGAGUGGCGCACGGGUGAGUAACACGUAAGUAAUCUACCCUCGAGUGGGGAAUAACGUCCGGAAACGGACGCUAAUACCGCAUAAUGCAGCGGCACCGCAAGGUGACAGUUGUUAAAGAUUUAUCGCUUGAGGAGGAGCUUGCGGCAGAUUAGCUAGUUGGUAAGGUAAUGGCUUACCAAGGCUACGAUCUGUAACCGGUCUUAGAGGACGGUCGGUCACACUGACACUGAAUAACGGGUCAGACUCCUACGGGAGGCAGCAGUCGGGAAUUUUGGGCAAUGGGCGAAAGCCUGACCCAGCAACGCCGCGUGAAGGAUGAAGUAUUUCGGUAUGUAAACUUCGAAAGAAUAGGAAGAAUAAAUGACGGUACUAUUUAUAAGGUCCGGCUAACUACGUGCCAGCAGCCGCGGUAAUACGUAGGGACCAAGCGUUGUUCGGAUUUACUGGGCGUAAAGGGCGCGUAGGCGGCUUGUCAAGUCACUUGUGAAAUCUCUGAGCUUAACUCAGAACGGCCAAGUGAAACUGACAUGCUAGAGUGCAGAAGGGGCAAUCGGAAUUCUUGGUGUAGCGGUGAAAUGCGUAGAUAUCAAGAGGAACACCUGAGGUGAAGACGGGUUGCUGGGCUGACACUGACGCUGAGGCGCGAAAGCCAGGGGAGCAAACGGGAUUAGAUACCCCGGUAGUCCUGGCCCUAAACGAUGAAUACUUGGUGUCUGGAAUUCUUUAAUUCCGGGUGCCGUCGCUAACGUUUUUAGUAUUCCGCCUGGGGAG
rnacentral:rRNA from 1 species